AUGGCAGCAUUAACAAGCCUCAUGACCCGCUUUUGUGCGGGCAUGGACAACUGGUUAGCCCGAUGCAGCACCAGCGACCCAAGUACAUCCGAAGUCAGGGACGGAAACGGGAAGCCACGACGCAGCAAAAACAAGCGCCAGAAUAAAGAAGACAACCCGAAGAUCACGGCGGUAAACGCCGGAUUCAGAAGCUCUUGGCCAGGUCAGCAAAAGCUGCCCUCCAAAGGCAACCGAGACGAACUGUCCAGCCUAAACAAGAUUCUGGACAAACUAUGUCAGAUCCACAGCACCCUUGAUAAACCUGCAAAUCAUACCCAUAGAGAAUGUUGGGUGUUCAAGCAGUCCGGCAAGCUCAACGCCGAACACAAGGGGCAGAUACACCAAGCGAAGACGAGGAUGAGCCUUGCCAGCAAAGCACUGGGGAAUAGAAGAAAUUCCCACCAGAAGUCAAAACAGUAA
rnacentral:rRNA from 1 species